rnacentral:pre_miRNA from 1 species
UACCCUGUAGAUCCGAAUUUGUGUAAAGGAAGUUGCGUCACAAAUUCGUAUCUAGGGGAAUA